rnacentral:misc_RNA from 1 species
UCUCCGUUGGUGAACCAGCGGAGGGAUCAUUAUCGAGUUUAUAACUCCCAAACCCUAUGUGAACUUACCACUUGUUGCUUCGGCGCGCGCUUCGGUGCCGCCGAGGACACUUAAACUCUUUGUUUUUAUAAGCAUUUCUGAGUGGCCGCGAGGCAAAAUACAAAUGAAUCAAAACUUUCAACAACGGAUCUCUUGGUUCUG